rnacentral:rRNA from 1 species
GUCGAGCGGAUCCGAUGGAGUGCUUGCACUCCUGACGGUUAGCGGCGGACGGGUGAGUAACACGUAGGUAACCUGCCUGUAAGACUGGGAUAACAUUCGGAAACGAAUGCUAAUACCGGAUACGCAAUUCUCUCGCAUGAGGGGAUUGGGAAAGACGGAGCAAUCUGUCACUUGCGGAUGGACCUGCGGCGCAUUAGCUAGUUGGUGAGGUAACGGCUCACCAAGGCGACGAUGCGUAGCCGACCUGAGAGGGUGAUCGGCCACACUGGGACUGAGACACGGCCCAGACUCCUACGGGAGGCAGCAGUAGGGAAUCUUCCGCAAUGGGCGAAAGCCUGACGGAGCAACGCCGCGUGAGUGAUGAAGGUUUUCGGAUCGUAAAGCUCUGUUGCCAGGGAAGAACGCUUGGGAGAGUAACUGCUCCUAAGGUGACGGUACCUGAGAAGAAAGCCCCGGCUAACUACGUGCCAGCAGCCGCGGUAAUACGUAGGGGGCAAGCGUUGUCCGGAAUUAUUGGGCGUAAAGCGCGCGCAGGCGGUUCAUUAAGUCUGGUGUUUAAUCCCGGGGCUCAACUCCGGGUCGCACUGGAAACUGGUGGACUUGAGUGCAGAAGAGGAAAGUGGAAUUCCACGUGUAGCGGUGAAAUGCGUAGAGAUGUGGAGGAACACCAGUGGCGAAGGCGACUUUCUGGGCUGUAACUGACGCUGAGGCGCGAAAGCG